GGCUCAGAACGAACGCUGGCGGCGUGGAUAAGACAUGCAAGUCGAACGCUGAUUGCGAGGUAGCAAUAUUUCGCAGUCGGAGUGGCGCAAGGGUGCUUAACUCGUGGGUAAUCUGCCGUAAAGACCGGGACAACUUGCUGAAAGGCGAGCUAAUACCGGAUGUGACGAUUGGGAGGCCUCUUCUGAUCUUCAAAGCUGGGGACCGCAAGGCCUGGCACUUUACGAUGAGCCCGCGGCCUAUCAGGUAGUUGGCGGGGUAACGGCCCACCAAGCCUUAGACGGGUAGCUGGUCUGAGAGGACGACCAGCCACACUGGAACUGAGACACGGUCCAGACACCUACGGGUGGCAGCAGUCGAGAAUUUUUCACAAUGGGCGCAAGCCUGAUGGAGCGACGCCGCGUGGGGGAUGAAGGGCUUCGGCUCGUAAACCCCUGUCAUUUGUGACCAAGAUAGCCGGUUGAAUAGAUCGGCUGUUUGAUGGUAGCGAAAGAGGAAGGGACGGCUAACUCUGUGCCAGCAGCCGCGGUAAUACAGAGGUCCCAAGCGUUGUUCGGAUUCACUGGGCGUAAAGGGUGCGUAGGUGGUCGGGUAAGUCUGAUGUGAAAUCUCCGAGCUUAACUCGGAAACGGCAUCGGAAACUACUUGGCUUGAGGAUUGGAGGGGAGACUGGAAUUCUCGGUGUAGCAGUGAAAUGCGUAGAUAUCGAGAGGAACACCAGUGGCGAAGGCGAGUCUCUGGACAAUUCCUGACACUGAGGCACGAAAGCUAGGGGAGCAAACAGGAUUAGAUACCCUGGUAGUCCUAGCUGUAAACGGUGCACGUUUGCCGUAAUCGGAAUCGACCCCGAUUGUGGCGAAGCUAACGCGUUAAACGUGCCGCCUGGGGAGUACGGU
rnacentral:rRNA from 1 species